rnacentral:rRNA from 1 species
GCAGGAGAGGAAGGUAGAUUCCCCGGUGUAGCGGUGAAAUGCGUAGAGAUCGGGAGGAAUACCAGUGGCGAAGGCGGCCUUCUGGACUGACACUGACACUGAGGUGCGAAAGCGUGGGUAGCAAACAGGAUUAGAUACCCUGGUAGUCCACGCCGUAAACGAUGUCGACCAGCCGUUGGGUGCCUAGCGCACUUUGUGGCGAAGUUAACGCGAUAAGUCGACCGCCUGGGGAGUACGGCCGCAAGGUUAAAACUCAAAUGAAUUGACGGGGGCCCGCACAAGCGGUGGAGCAUGUGGUUUAAUUCGAUGCAACGCGAAGAACCUUACCUACUCUUGACAUCCUGCGAAUUUGGUAGAGAUACCUUAGUGCCUUCGGGAACGCAGAGACAGGUGCUGCAUGGCUGUCGUCAGCUCGUGUUGUGAAAUGUUGGGUUAAGUCCCGUAACGAGCGCAACCCUUGUCCUUAUUUGCCAGCGCGUAAUGGCGGGAACUCUAAGGAGACUGCCGGUGACAAACCGGAGGAAGGUGGGGACGACGUCAAGUCAUCAUGGCCCUUACGAGUAGGGCUACACACGUGCUACAAUGGUCGGUACAAAGGGUUGCCAACUCGCGAGAGUGAGCCAAUCCCGAAAAGCCGAUCUCAGUCCGGAUCGGAGUCUGCAACUCGACUCCGUGAAGUCGGAAUCGCUAGUAAUCGUGGAUCAGAAUGCCACGGUGAAUACGUUCCCGGGCCUUGUACACACCGCCCGUCACACCAUGGGAGUGGACUGCACCAGAAGUGGUUAGCCUAACGCAAGAGGGCGAUCACCACGGUGUGGUUCAUGAGUGGGGUGAAGUCGUAACAAGGUAGCCGUA